UUGAUUUUAAUAUUGAUUUUGCCCGGCGCCAUCUAUUAAUCACUUACCUUACUAGCUCAGUUAUAAAGUGAAUUCUGCAUGAGAUCUCCUAUCUGUGGAGGUGUGAGAAAAGAUUUCUGAAAUAUCAACUAAACAAACGACACAAAAAUACAGCUAUAUGAAAUGGUUGAUAAAUAACAAAAGACUGUCGAAUAUUGUACACGAAUUUGGAAAUAUAUUGAAAAUAAAGGCUUUGUUAUGCAACAUCAAAAAUACAAGGUUAUCUAGUCGAAAGUCUGAAGGACGAAAUAUGAUGCAAUGAAUUUAACUAUAUAAAAAAAAUAAAAGUAUUUGACAAAAAUUUAAGUCGAAGAUAACCCAAAAUUAUCUUGAAUAUUCAAAAUUUGUUAUAUUAAAGCUAGAAAAUGAAAAACAUUGACUUUAGAUCAUGAUCAAUUAAAAAUAUAAACUGUUCAGUACAACCUUUCACGAUGUAAUAUGAAGAUAAACCAAACUGCUAUGAAGUCUCUUCGGAUCCAAGACGAAACCAACUGCUUCUCUUUCACUGGAACAAUGUUCUAAACAUGGUAGAUACCCGCAUCGGAAUACUUUUUCACUUUUCUUAUAAAGUUGAGGGUCAUUUUUGAAAAUUUUUUCUUCACCAUGAAGAUUAUUUAUACAGAUUGAUGUCUAUUUCAACAUAAUUUCACAAAUCUACACAUGCAGCUAAAUGAUGCAAGACGUAUCACCUUAACGAAGUUCCUUUCGAAGUGACUUUUGGAAACAUGGAACCUUUUGAUGAUUCUUACGAACAAAUAAGGCUAUUGUAUGAUACAAAUAGAAGUAAUUCUCUGGUAAAACUCAAAAUUCAAAUUAUUAUAUAUUCUAUUUACUAAUUUCUAAUUUAUAUGUCAUUGAAAUAUCAUCUUUGAUAUAGGAUUACCUAUUUUGAUUUCUCAUGUAAUUCUACCUUUAUACACUUAAAUAAAACCAUCUUAUAACUAUUUAAUUAUUACUAAGUGCUCUCCUAACUUUAGUUCUUUUUAUAAUUCUCAUUCUUCUCAACCUUCCAAUCAACGAUACCCCUCAAAAGUGGCAAUAAUAAAAAAAAUUAUCCAUAUACUUUGGGCUUUAUUAAAAUUACUAAAUUAUCUAUUAUUUUUAACUAUUCUAUGGUUUGAGUAUCUUAAAAAAUCAUAAUAACUAUUUAAAAUCAUGACAA
rnacentral:lncRNA from 1 species